AGUGAACGCUGGCGGUAGGCCUAACACAUGCAAGUCGAACGGCAGCACAGUAAGAGCUUGCUCUUACGGGUGGCGAGUGGCGGACGGGUGAGGAAUACAUCGGAAUCUACUUUUUCGUGGGGGAUAACGUAGGGAAACUUACGCUAAUACCGCAUACGACCUACGGGUGAAAGCAGGGGAUCUUCGGACCUUGCGCGAUUGAAUGAGCCGAUGUCGGAUUAGCUAGUUGGCGGGGUAAAGGCCCACCAAGGCGACGAUCCGUAGCUGGUCUGAGAGGAUGAUCAGCCACACUGGAACUGAGACACGGCCCAGACUCCUACGGGAGGCAGCAGUGGGGAAUAUUGGACAAUGGGCGCAAGCCUGAUCCAGCCAUACCGCGUGGGUGAAGAAGGCCUUCGGGUGGUAAAGCCCUUUUGUUGGGAAAGAAAAGCAGCAGGUUAAUACCCCGCUGUUCGGACGGUACCCAAAGAAUAAGCACCGGCUAACUUCGU
rnacentral:rRNA from 1 species